GCGCCGGCUGAAGACUAUGUGGGCAGGGAUACCCACCCGAGCAGGGCCAGUGGCGCAAUGGAUAACGCGUCUGACUACGGAUCAGAAGAUUCUAGCUGACAGCUCUGUGCUGCUGCUUGGCCAGCAUCACCUAAGCAUCAUGGUCACCCCUAGCUGUGAAGCCUAUGCCACGGGAACCCUCCCCAAAACCUUCUAAGGAACCCAUCCCCAUCCAUGCUGCAAAAGAGGACCUCCACGCUGGGAAUGGAGCCUGCUCCCACCUGUUGUAGGUCCUCCCCCACCAACUCAGCCCAGGAUCUGGGUCUCCCUAGAAGGAUGCUGGAACAGGAAGACCUGCCCUGGGGCUGCAGCAAAGAGCAGCCACCUCUGACAGGCUGGGGAAACCCCCUGAGAAUGGGGUGCUCUGCCAGUCCCUGCUUCAGACGCUGGCGCUGUGGGACAGAGGCAGGCAGAGGUGGGGGCUGGGCUUCACAAUCUCGCAGGGUUUCUUCCCGCCUAAAGGACUCCAGGAUUCCGUGCAACCACCACUCCACAGCACAACUGCCUCCCUGGGGGCUCCGAGCAGUGACGAUCACCAUCGCGUUACCAAAGACUCAGGCUGAGCACGGCCUCGUGAUGCCCUUUACUCUCGAAAGCACAGGCGGGCCCCGGCCUCAGCCGCUGCUGGGAGCCCUCCCCACGCCUGAAGACAAGAGGGCUGUGCUCACAGGUGCCGCCGGCUGGGCACGGCAGCACAAAUCCUAACGGACAUCUCCCAGAGCCGAGGUGGAAGGAAACGCGAAGGAUUUAGUACCGUUCAGGACCGCCGGCCAGGCUCCGCCUUUGCUUCCAGACACAGCCUCAGCCUGUGCCUGUGCAGCCAGGGCCCACCCAGCUGUGCACCGCAGACCUGCUGCGUGGAGACAAGGGCCAGUGCCCACACAGCUGGGCAUCGCUUUCCACCAGGGCCAGGAGCAUCAGCUGCUGUUGAGGGCUCUAUGCCACAGAUUGUCACAGGGUAACGGUCUCUUCCCACCUCUCAUCUCAUCGUAGUGGCCUACUGAUGUAGCUGCCUGCCCUGGAAGAAAGCAGGGUGAGGAUUUUUACUGCUCAGGACAGCUUCAUUUUGCUUCUCCUUAGUUAAAGAGUGGGUGAGCAGCUCCAGGCUCUGGCUGGGCUCACAGCAAGAUGUCUGCCCAAGCACAGGCAGUGCUGCUGCAGCCAGCAGCAGGAUGCAGCAAUGGAUAAGAAAAGAGAAUGCACAACCACCAUGCCAUGAGAGACAACCCCCCCAGAUCCUCCCAGCAGCACAGCCACUUGGCCUCAGAGGAUGGGAGAAAAGGGAUGUGUGUGGCCACAGCCCUUCCCUGCUUGCACAGGCUGACUCCAGAGAUGUUUCCCUAGCCACGGAGCAGUCCUUUGCAGAAACUUGUCCCAAAUGCACCUCGAUGUAGGCACACAGGUGUGUGAAAGACAGAUCUCUCAUGGCAGCACCAAUCCAACAGCACACAGCACCCCAAAAGCCAACAGAGCACACGGCAGAGGCUGACAUGGGAGAGAGACGCAGAGUCCAGAGCAACAUAUGCAGGUCUGAGAAGUGUGCAGGACUCCCACGAAGGAGCUGAGCUCCUCCAUUCCACCUUCUACCCUGCUCUCAGUAACUGUCUGUCCUGUCCCUGCACAGCCCAUCCCUCCUCUCUCCACACACCCUCGGUGCUCCAGCACCCAUUUCCGUUUAUUGAACAGCAGCAGCCCACCGCAGGUGUUGUUUCAAGGCAAGAGAUUCCCCCUGGGGCAUGUCUCACUUGGCCUGGAUCCAGCCCGGGCACACUCACACCCACUGACUGGCACCCAUGCACUGGUUCCAGUGGGACUGCCGCUGCACCCCCAGCUCAGUGCCAGUGCAGUCCUUCGGGGGACUUUCUUAGCAACAGCAGCAGAGCACAGAGCUGCUGUGGCAUCACCCAGCAGCAGGCUGACAUCCAGGUAAUCUGGAGCAUCAGGUCAAAGCGUUCAGGUAGAGACGGAGACUGCGUGUCAAUUUUCCUCCAAGUAAGGACCUGGGUUUGCUGUUGCUGGGUUAGUAAAUCUUUCAGAGAAGCUCAAAACUGGGACUAAAUUCAUCAGGAAGCAGACACCUGCCGUUCUCCCCAGAGCUGUGUACUCCUGGGAGGGAGGAGGAGGUCACUGCAGACCCAAACACUGAAAUUCAGGGACGCCAAAUAUUUGGCCAGUGUGGACAUCAAAAAGGGCAAAGCGCAGGGGAAGGAAGCCAAAGACAACUUUUCCUCUCGCAAGGCAAGUCAGAACCACGCUGGCUUUCCUGAGCCCAGGCCCCUGCUCUGAAGGCUGCCACUGCACACUGGUGCUGCUGAAACUCCUCCACUUCCAGACCGAAGAGCUACUUGCUCUGUAGCAAAAGGAUCCAACUCCCCUCAAUCAUUAAACCUCAGAAGGACUGGGGAAGUA